rnacentral:lncRNA from 1 species
ACAUACAAUAUAUUAUUAGCAUAGCACAAUAUAAGCAUUAAAUUACUAUAUUGUACUAUAUCAUUAUAUGGUAAUAUUAUUAGUAAUACUACAUUUAAUAUAUAUAUAUAAUUAAUAUUAUUAUAUUAUAUUAGUAUAAUAUUGUAUAACAUUAUAAGAUUAUUAUCAAUAUUAUAAUUAUAUACAAUAUAUUAUAUAUUUAUAAAUUAUUGUGUGUGUGUGUGUGUGUGUGUGUAAAAUUAGCAUAGCAUAUUGCUAUGGCACAGGAGAUGAGAUGGAAUCAUUUUCCUGGCUCUCAGGUUGGUAUGUCUUCCUGUAUAUGUGUGUGUGUGUGUGUGUGUGUGUGUGCGUAUGUGUGUGUGUGUGUGUAUAUAUAUAUAUAUAUAUGUAUAUAUAUAUAUAUAGAUAGAUAGAUAGAUAGAUAGAUAGAGAGAGAGAGAGAGAGAGAGAGAUGUGGUUGGGGGUGGGAGGUUGUCCAAGAGCAUAUCAGUGAACAUCCAGAAGAAUCUGUUUAGGGUGAAGAUGAUCCACAUUCUCAUAAGAUUAUGAAGCCCAUAAGGGCAUAAUAGGAAUCUUCUGGGGAAGAUCUGUUCUCUGCCGUCUUAGGACUCCAUAUAUGUGUGUGUGAGAGUAAGUUGCUUUGGGAUAGUAUUUCUGGAAGCCAGCUAGAAAGAAACUAAUUACCUAGUUACUCUUGAGUUAGAGGCGAUUCUCUAUGGCUUCAGUGUAGAUAGAUGGUGGGAACCCCAAUCUCUCAAAGCUAUAUUGAGUUGACACAUUGCAGAGCAAUGCAAAAAGUCAAAGAAAUGGCCUAAAACCGGGGCUCUCAUACAUUCUAAGCAAAAGGCCAGUUCAUGGUCCCUCAGACUGUUGGAAAGGGAGCAGAUGAAAAACAAUAUGAAAAUUCCAGCACACAGUGCAAAAACAUACAAAAGAACAAUAUAAUAUUUAAAACGAAGAGCAAUUUUAAUCAACAUAAACUGUCUAAACAUCCAAGACACCAGUUGAGCCUCCAGGUGGAAACUUCAGAAACUUCAGAAACUUCAAUAGGUCCAAAAUGAAGUAGCCACAAGGCUGUUUGGGACCAGUCACAGGGAGCAUAUAACUCACCUGUUGAAUGUUCCACUGAGUACUAUUACCGUAUAUACUUGAGUAUAAGCCGACGCAAAUAUAAGCCGAGGCACCUAAUUUUACCACAAAAAAAACUGGGAAAACAUUUACUCCAGUAUAAGCCGAGGGUGGUAAAUUUCAGAAAUUAAAAUAGAUACCAAUAAAAUUACAUUAAUUGAGGCAUCAGUAGGUUAAAUGUUUUGAAUAUUUACAUAAAGCUCAAAUUUAAGAUAAGACUGUCCAACUCUGAUCAAAUCAUUAUUCUCAUCUUCUUCAAUGUAAAUGUGCUUAUGUAUCCUUUUAAUAAUAAUAGAGUAAAAUAAUACAUGUAAUAAUAAUAAUAGUAAUAAAUAAUACAGGAAAAUAAUACAUGUAGUAAUAAAUAGAGUAAAAUAAUAAAUGCAAUAAUAAUACAGUAGAGUCUCACUUAUCCAAGCUAAACGGGCCAACAGAAGCUUGGAUAAGCGAGUAUCUUGGAUAAUAAGGAGGGAUUAAGAAAAAGUCUAUUAAACAUUAAAUUAGGUUAUGAUUUUACAAAUUAAGCACCAAAACAUCAUGUUAUACAACAAAUUUGACAGAAAAAGUAGUUCAAUACGCAGUAAUGUUAUGUUGUAAUUACUGUAUUUACGAAUUUAGCACCAAAAUAUCAUGAUAUAUUGAAAACUUUGACUACAAAAAUGGCUUGGAUAAUCCAGAAGCUUGGAUAAGUGAGGCUUGGAUAAGUGACUCUACUGUAAUAAUAAUAAGAUCAGAGUGAAAUAAUAAAUGUAUUAAUAAUAAUAAUAAAAAUAGUAAAAUAAAUGUAAUAGUAGCAACAAUAACAGAGAAAAAUAAUAAAUGUAAUAAUACCAAUUAUAAUAAAGUAAAAUAAUAAAUGUACCAUAUAUCCUUGAGUAUAAGCUGACCCAAAUAUAAGCCAACCAGGACCCUCACCCAAGUAUAAGCCGAGUGGGGCUUUUUCAGUCUUAAAAAAAGGGCUGAAAAACUAGGCUUAUACUUGACUAUAUACAGUAGUUCAUUUCUG